UAUUGCUGCCCUGUUGGAGCAAUUUCGCUGCACCCGCAAUAACAUCUGCUGAAUAUGUGUAAGUGACAAAUAAAAUUAGAUUUGAUGCACAAGUUACCCAAAUUAGAGGGUGUAGGGGCUAACUAGACCGAGACAGCAAGGCUGCAGGCUCCAGAGCGAAGUGCUAUCCCAACACGCACUGCAAUAUGUUUUUUUCAUACAAAAUAACACAAAAAUGACAAAUACCUCCCAAAUAAUGUUUAUCUGUUACUGAGGUUUAGAUCUUGUAAAAUGACAGCAGGAAAUUGUUCAUUUGAAUCUACAUUUGUGUUUUAUUAUGAAACCGAUGAGGGCUGGUUUGGUAUUCACCGUAGACAUGUAAUCCUAUACGCUUUGUUUACACGGGCAGCCCUAUUCUGAUCUUUUGCCCAAUUUUUGACAAAUGGGUUGAUCUGAUUGUUCAAGAGUUGAUCUGAUUGGUCAUAACACCAAUUAUUGGAUGAAGAUCAGGGCAACGUUCAGAUGCCAAACAUUCUUGAACAUUGCAGAUAGAAAUGCCAUGAAUAGAGCUGAUGUGAUUCCUUAUUCUAAAUAAGUUUGAUCUACAUAGAAAUAGGCUAUCUGAACGUUCCAAAUUGUUCCAAUUCUACAGAACACCCCACGAAUUGGGCUGCCUGUGUAAACGCAGCCAUAAUAGUUCAGAAAUCCAUAUCAGCAAUAUCUUGGCUUUGGAGAUUGUCUUGAUAGAUGUUAAUGUAUUCUGUGAUCUCUUCUCCCCUCCCAGCUGACUACACAGGAGACUACACCACAGGCACCAUGAUGACAUUUACACCGUGUUUGCUGUCAUGUUCAACGGCUGCGCAGGCAUCAUAGUUCUAGUUCCAACGUGUCAGAUGAGACUAAGGGCUGACAUCGGCAGAAGUUCAGCGUACAUGAUGGGACCUGAAGAGCCCAAGCUACUCUAUCCUCAAGGGAACCCUGGCAGCAGUCAUCUUAAGCUUCAUCUCCUACAGUAUUCCUGCUCAGCCUGCUGGUGGCCUACUCCUGUGACCGUCAUCUUCUCCAGAGGGACUACAGUUUCCUGGGGGACAUCAACGUGAGGGGCCCCCUGGUGACAGUGGGGGUGUACUCCUCUACCCUGUCUGCUGCCGUGGGGUCCUGGCUCUGGCAAGAAAGACAGUCACAAAUUUGGAAUCCCUUGGCGUCCGUGCUCAUCUCAUGGGUCCUAGUGCAGGUGGUGUUUUCAGGGAAGCUGAACACCAUCGCCAACAGAGUGACCCUUUUCUUCCUUGUCUAUGCUGCUGUGGAUCUGGCCUGCCUGGCCCUGGAAUGGGCCUCUGCACCCAACAGCACAAUCUGAUUCGCCAGCACGGAGACCCGCCCCCUGCCGUGCGUUUCC